AGCAGCCGCGGUAAUUCCAGCUCCAAUAGCGUAUAUUAAAGUUGUUGCAGUUAAAAAGCUCGUAGUUGAAUUUCGGGAUCAAUGUUUCGGUCAUGCCCUUGGUAUGUACUGAUAUUAUUGGUUUCUCACCUUCUAAAGAACCGUAAUGCCAUUAAUUUGGUGUCACGGGGAAUUAGGACUGUUACCUUGAAAAAAUUAGAGUGUUUAAAGCAGGCUCACGCUUGAAUACAUUAGCAUGGAAUAAUGAAAUAGGACAUCCGAUUCUAUUUUGUUGGUUUCUAGGAUCGAUGUAAUGAUUAAUAGGGAUAGUUGGGGGCAUUAGUAUUCAAUUGUCAGAGGUGAAAUUCUUGGAUUUAUUGAAGACUAACUACUGCGAAAGCAUUUGCCAAGGAUGUUUUCAUUAAUCAAGAACGAAAGUUAGGGGAUCGAAGACGAUCAGAUACCGUCGUAGUCUUAACCAUAAACUAUGCCGACUAGGGAUCGGAUGAUGUUAAUUUGUUAGUGACUCA
rnacentral:rRNA from 1 species